GACGAACGCUGGCGGCGUGCCUAAUACAUGCAAGUCGAGCGGAACUGGGGGAGCUUGCUCCUUCCAGUUUAGCGGCGGACGGGUGAGUAACACGUGGGCAACCUGCCCUGCAGAUCGGGAUAACUCCGGGAAACCGGUGCUAAUACCGAAUAGUUUGGCGCCUCUCCUGAGGCGCCACGGAAAGACGGUUUCGGCUGUCACUGCAGGAUGGGCCCGCGGCGCAUUAGCUAGUUGGUGGGGUAACGGCCCACCAAGGCGACGAUGCGUAGCCGACCUGAGAGGGUGAUCGGCCACACUGGGACUGAGACACGGCCCAGACUCCUACGGGAGGCAGCAGUAGGGAAUCUUCCGCAAUGGACGCAAGUCUGACGGAGCGACGCCGCGUGAGUGACGAAGGUUUUCGGAUCGUAAAACUCUGUUGUGAGGGAAGAACACGUACCAACUAACUAUUGGUACCUUGACGGUACCUCACCAGAAAGCCACGGCUAACUACGUGCCAGCAGCCGCAGUAA
rnacentral:rRNA from 1 species